rnacentral:rRNA from 1 species
AUACGGAGGGUGCAAGCGUUGUUCGGAAUCACUGGGCGUAAAGGGCGCGUAGGCGGUUUGAUAAGUCAGAUGUGAAAGCCCACGGCUUAACUGUGGAAGUGCAUUUGAAACUGUCAGACUUGAGUACCAGAGGGGAAAGUGGAAUUCCCGGUGUAGAGGUGAAAUUCGUAGAUAUCGGGAGGAAUACCGGUGGCGAAGGCGACUUCCUGGCUGGAUACUGACGCUGAGGCGCGAAAGCGUGGGGAGU